rnacentral:rRNA from 1 species
AUUGAACGCUGGCGGCAGGCCUAACACAUGCAAGUCGAACGGUAACAGGAAACAGCUUGCUGUUUCGCUGACGAGUGGCGGACGGGUGAGCAAUGUCUGGGAAACUGCCUGCUGGAGGGGGAUAACUACUGGAAACGGUAGCUAAUACCGCAUAACGUCGCAAGACCAAAGAGGGGGACCUUUGGGCCUCAUGCCAUCAGAUGUGCCCAGAUGGGAUUAGCUAGUAGGUGGGGUAACGGAUCACCUAGGCGAGGAUCACUAGCUGGUCAGAGAGGAUGACCAGCCACACUGGAACUGAGACACGGUCCAGACUCGUACGGGAGGCAGCAGUGGGGAAUAUUGCACAAUGGGCGCAAGCCUGAUGCAGCCAUGCCGCGUGUGUGAAGAAGGCCUUCGGGUUGUAAAGCACUUUCAGCGGGGAGGAAGGCGGUGAGGUUAAUAACCUCAUCGAUUGACGUUACCCGCAGAAGAAGCACCGGCUAACUCCGUGCCAGCCGCCGCCGUAA